rnacentral:rRNA from 1 species
AUGAACGCUGGCGGCGUGCCUAAUACAUGCAAGUCGAACGAGUUCUCCCUAAAUCUUUUGAUGCUUGCAUUAAAAGAUUUAGGAUUCGGAACGAGUGGCGAACUGGUGAGUAACACGUGGGUAACCUGCCCUGAAGUGGGGGAUAACAUUUGGAAACAAAUGCUAAUACCGCAUAAUUAGUUGAAACCACGUGGUUUCAACUUGAAAGAUGGCUCUGCUAUCACUUUAGGAUGGACCCCGCGGCGUAUUAGCUAGUUGGUGAGAUAAUAGCCCACCAAGGCGAUGAUACGUAGCCGACCUGAGAGGGUAAUCGGCCACAUUGGGACUGAGACACGGCCCAGACUCCUACGGGAGGCAGCAGUAGGGAAUCUUCCACAAUGGACGCAAGUCUGAUGGAGCAACGCCGCGUGAGUGAAGAAGGUUUCGCUCGU